CUUCAAUCUUUGUUGCGGCUGCAGGAUCUUUAGUUGUGGUGUGCGAACUCUGAGUCGUGGCAUGUGGGAUCUAGUUCCCUGACCAGGGAUUGAACC
rnacentral:pre_miRNA from 1 species